AACACCUGUGCAGUAUAUAGGGUAUAUAUAGGUGACCGAACCCAGUUAGGACCUCUUUAUAAGCUUUUAAGAUUUGGAGAGCUGGUGUGGGGAUCCAUUCAUCUUGUUGCCAUCCAAGAUUAAGUCUUUAGCUUCUACAAUGCCUUCCUGAAGUAAACCUACAGGUUACAGGGACAAAAAUAGCCUUCCAGAAUUGAAGAUGCAGUGAUACCAGAGACCAUCAUUUCCCUUUCUGCUUGAUUUUCAUCAAAGGAAGAAAAGGAAGUGCAUGGAUGGAAGUUAAGGAAGCACACACUAGAAUCUGUCAUUUCUUUCUUCUUUUUUAAAAAAAAAUUUUUUAAUGUUUAUUUUUGAGAGAGAGAGAGAGGCAGAACAUGAGUUGGGGAGGAGCGGAGAGAGAGAGAGGAGACACAGAAUCGGAA